rnacentral:rRNA from 1 species
AUUGAACGCUGGCGGCAUGCCUUACACAUGCAAGUCGAACGCGAAAGGGGGGCAACCCCCGAGUAGAGUGGCGGACGGGUGAGUAAUACAUCGGAACGUACCCAGUAGUGGGGGACAACCUCGAGAAAUCGAGGCUAAUACCGCAUACGACCCACGGGUGAAAGCGGGGGACCGCAAGGCCUCGCGCUAUUGGAGCGGCCGAUGUCCGAUUAGCUAGUUGGUGGGGUAAGAGCCCACCAAGGCGACGAUCGGUAGCUGGUCUGAGAGGACGACCAGCCACACUGGGACUGAGACACGGCCCAGACUCCUACGGGAGGCAGCAGUGGGGAAUUUUGGACAAUGGGGGCAACCCUGAUCCAGCCAUGCCGCGUGCGGGAAGAAGGCCUUCGGGUUGUAAACCGCUUUCGGCCGGAACGAAAUCGCCGGGGAGAACAUCCCCGGUGGAUGACGGUACCGGAAGAAGAAGCACCGGCUAACUACGUGCCAGCCGCCGCCGUAACAC